UACGUAGGGUGCGAGCGUUGUCCGGAAUUACUGGGCGUAAAGAGCUUGUAGGCGGUCUGUCGCGUCUGCUGUGAAAAUCCGGGGCUCAACCCCGGACUUGCAGUGGGUACGGGCAGACUAGAGUGUGGUAGGGGAGACUGGAAUUCCUGGUGUAGCGGUGAAAUGCGUAGAGAUCCGGAAGAACACCGGAGGCGAAGGCGGCUUGCUGGGCUCGGUCUGACGCUGAGGCGCGAAAGCGUGGGGAGCGAACAGG
rnacentral:rRNA from 1 species